GAUGAACGCUAGCGGGAGGCCUAACACAUGCAAGCCGAGCGGUAUUGUUUCUUCGGCAAUGAGAGAGCGGCGUACGGGUGCGUAACACGUGUGCAACCUGCCUUUAUCUGGGGGAUAGCCUUUCGAAAGGAAGAUUAAUACUCCAUAAUAUAUUGAACGGCAUCGUUUAAUAUUGAAAGCUCCGGCGGAUAGAGAUGGGCACGCGCAAGAUUAGCUAGUUGGUGAGGUAACGGCUCACCAAGGCGAUGAUCUUUAGGGGGCCUGAGAGGGUGAUCCCCCACACUGGUACUGAGACACGGACCAGACUCCUACAGGAGGCAGCAGUGAGGAAUAUUGGUCAAUGGGUGCAAGCCUGAACCAGCCAUCCCGCGUGAAGGACGACUGCCCUAUGGGUUGUAAACUUCUUUUGUAUAGGGAUAAACCUACCCUCGAGAGGGUAGCUGAAGGUACUAUACGAAUAAGCACCGGCUAACUCCGUG
rnacentral:rRNA from 1 species